UAUCACUCUGUAUAUGUAUUCCUCUUUUUUUUAGGUACAUGCAAAAUAUAUAUAUGGUGUGUGUGCGUGGGGGGCCUCCAAGUGGGAGCCUAAACAACUAAAACUCAUUGGUUAUACAUAUUUAUGUUAGUACAAUAUAUAAAAAGAGGAAUACAUAUACAGAGUGAUAUAUGGAAAAUGCCAUCCGAUUGAAGCUUCAAAAUACAUAAUCGAAACUUAAUAUAUGGCAAAUGCUCUAUCAACAAACUGAAAAUAUUUUAAACUUGCCUACGUUAUAAAUAGGAGUCCCUUACCAAUCGAACCCACCUGCCCACAUCUUACUGCGUAUAGGCCAUCAAAAUUUUCAUUACUCGUUCAGGUGGGGAAGCAUCCAAGCAGGAAGAAUUGCAUUACCUCGAUGUUGGAUUGGAGUUGUUUCAUCCUCACCUCUAUUGCCUCUGAUGUUCAAGGACUGCGCUGUAACAGUAGAUGAAUCUACACCAUGAUUUUGUUGCUCCAUUUGUGUCUGCUGAGCCAUUUCCUUCUCUUUCUCCUUGACCUUCUUCGCUAGCUGGUUGUUUUGCUCCUGUAAUGCCUUAUCCUUCUUCUGCAGUUCUGCUAUGGAUUCAUACAUCAAUUGGUUCUUUCUUGACCUUAUGUGUUUAAGAGCAGAAUCAAUUUGUUGCUCCAAACUCUGAAGCUCUUUGAGGCUCAAGGUGUCGAGAUCUCUCCCCAUGAAAUGCCUUUGGUUUCUUUGUAAAACCUCCAGUCUAGCCUUCAACUUCACAUAUUCCAGAGUCCAGCUACCAUUUGUUUCGGUAUCAGUUGCAACAAGCUGCCUCUCUGCAUAUGAAUAUCUCUCAUAACGUUCCAGGAUCCUUUCCAUGCUGGAAUCAGUAGAGUAUUCAAAAAGCUUCCCUUUGGUGGAGAAGACGAUCAAAGCAACCUCAGCAUCACAAAGCACAGAGAUCUCAUGGGCUUUCUUCAACAAGCCAGACCUUCUCUUGGAAAAAGUCACUUGCCUAUUGAUCUUGUUCUCAAUUCUCUUAAGCUGAACCCUACCCCUCCCCAUAUUCUACCCUUCUUUUUCUUAUUCAGGAGGAAAAAAAUGAACCCACCCAGAAUUCAAAGC
rnacentral:misc_RNA from 1 species